AACAAAAAAAAAUUAAAUAUUGAAGAAAUGAUUGAAAAAUUAUAAGUAAAUAGUUAUUUUUAAAUCUAUCUUAACACGUAUGAUCAAUAAAACAACAUUAAACAUCUGUAUCACAUUCAGAAGUGAUAAUUUCGAAAGGAAGUUUAUUUCACAAUCUCGAAUAACCAAGCUUUUACUAGGUAACUCUCAUAAUGUAAUUUGCCCAUACAUUACGGGACAGAAAAGAGCAGCGUGUGAUAUUUAUUUUCGUUCACAGAACGUGCGUGGAAAAGAAGAAAAGAUCACGACACGCAAUAAGAAUCAUCACUGGAGUAAUACUCUCGUGACAAGUGCAAUUCUGUUGAUCUCUUUUAAUAACACCGCUAUAACAUAAACCCCGAGAUACCAACUUUCAUGAUGUAACACGCCGAGCAUAUUUUAAUACAACAGUAUCGUGUUAACUUGCUACAUCUUAGAUAACAGUCUAGCACGUAUGACAAAGCAUUUACAAACGAUUGCAGCACCCAAUCAUUACUAAUGCCUCGAUGAAUUGAAAUUUUCAAAAUGUGCAGAUCAAUGGAUAUAUCCUUCUUUUGCAAAUCAAUGGAUGAUUUUAUAAAUCACACGAAAAUGAAUGAAAAGUUUUAUCAGCAUGUAUACUACAUUGACCAAACAAACCGCGCAUAACGUAAUUUUUAUUGGACGUGGACAUGACAAUUUGCUUUUGUGGUGUAAUGUUUUAAAGAAGCAGAAUGAAUUUUGCAUAUUGGAUAUUAAAAUGCAAUACCAUUGAUUAUCAAAUGAAUCUAGAUUCAGUAAGAAGAGUAUUAAAAACGAUGUAGAAAGAUUAUAAAAUCGAAGAUCAAAUCAUACUUUGAACAAUUCAGGACAGCAAUUUUCGUAUUAUACUUGAGUAGAGUAUAAAGUCUUUGAUGAGAAUUAUUUUCUCGAAACGUGAAUAACCAGGAUAUUUGUUGCAGAUUAAUUCAAGCGAUACUUGGAUAAAAUAGA